rnacentral:rRNA from 1 species
CAUCACUACGCUAGAUGCAUAUCAAUAAGCGGAGGAAAAGAAACUAACAAGGAUUCCCUUAGUAACGGCGAGUGAAGCGGGAAGAGCUCAAAUUUGAAAUCUUCAAGGUUCUACCUUGACGAAUUGUAGUUUAUAGAAGUGUUUUCUGUUAGUAGAGUGGCAAAAGUUCUUUGGAAUAGGACAUCAUAGAGGGUGAGAAUCCCGUAUUUGGUCAUUCUUUCUAGCUUUGUGAUACACUUUCAACGAGUCGGAUUGUUUGGGAAUGCAGUCCAAAAUGGGUGGUAAAUUUCAUCUAAAGCUAAAUAUUGGCGAGAGACCGAUAGCGAACAAGUACCGUGAGGGAAAGAUGAAAAGAACUUUGAAAAGAGAGUUAAACAGUACGUGAAAUUGUCAAAAGGGAAGCGUUUGACACCAGUGUUGUUUUUCCGAAAAUCAAUUACGAAUGUUUUGUUUUUAAGAAGUUAUGACUUCAUCGGCUUGCUCCUUUCUUUAUGAAACUUUCUUAAUGCACUUUUCAGGUUAACAAGUCAGCAUCAAUUUCUUUUGUUGUAAAAGGGUGAGAGGAAGGUGGCUUUCUCUUCGGCGCAAGUGUUUAUAGCCUUGUACCUCUGCAAUCGGAGAGAUUGAGGUCUGCAGCGUAGAUCCUUCGGGGUUAGAUACAUUUGUGCUAAGCUAUAGCCUUGUAUAGACAACUUGUUGUACUAUGCUCAGUCAUGUAGCUUACUCGCUUAUGCUAUUUUACCUACGCUUAGGAUGUUGAUAUGCAUGACUGAUAU